UUGCUUCUCUUGACAGCGGCGGACGGGUGACUUUUGCCUAUGAAUCUGCCUGGUAGUGGGGGAUAACGUUCGGAAACGGACGCUAAUACCGCAUACGUCCUACGGGAGAAAGCAGGGGACCUUCGGGCCUUGCGCUAUCAUAUGAGCCUAGGUCGGAUUAGCUAGUUGGUGGGGUAAUGGCUCACCAAGGCGACGAUCCGUAACUGGUCUGAGAGGAUGAUCAGUCACACUGGAACUGAUACACGGUCCAGACUCCUACUGGAGGCAGCAGUGGGGAAUAUUGGACAAUGGGCGAAAGCCUGAUCCAGCCAUGCCGCGUGUGUGAAGAAGGUCUUCGGAUUGUAAAGCACUUUACGUUGGGAGGAAGGGCAGUAAAUUAAUACUUUGCUGUUUUGACGUUACCGACAGACUAAGCACCGGCUAACUCUGUGCCCGCAGCCGCGGUAAUACAGAGGGUG
rnacentral:rRNA from 1 species